GAUGAACGCUAGCGGCAGGCUUAAUACAUGCAAGUCGAGGGGCAGCAUGAGUGUAGCAAUACAUUUGAUGGCGACCGGCAAACGGGUGCGGAACACGUACUGAACCUUCCUUUAAGUAGGGAAUAGCCCAGGGAAACUUGGAUUAAUACCCCGUAACAUAAUGAAGUGGCAUCACUUUAUUAUUAUAGCUCCGGCGCUUAAAGAUGGCAGUGCGGCUGAUUAGGUAGUUGGCGGGGUAACGGCCCACCAAGCCUGCGAUCAGUAACUGGUGUGAGAGCACGACCAGUCACACGGGCACUGAGACACGGGCCCGACUCCUACGGGAGGCAGCAGUAAGGAAUAUUGGGCAAUGGACGCAAGUCUGACCCAGCCAUGCCGCGUGGAGGAUGAAGGUCCUCUGGAUUGUAAACUUCUUUUAUAUGGGACGAAAAAGGGUCUUUCUAGAUCAACUGACGGUACCAUAUGAAUAGGCACCGGCUAACUACGUGCCAGCCGCCGCGGUAACAC
rnacentral:rRNA from 1 species